rnacentral:lncRNA from 1 species
CACUGAACAUCUGUGGUCCCGUGUUUAAUCUGUUCUGAUUGUCUGUCUGUUUCCAUUUCAGGGGGAGCCAGGGGACCCCGGAGAGGAUGGGAUGAAGGGUGCGAAGGGCGAGGUUGGAGUACUUGGCCUGCCUGGAGAAAGGGGGAUCGAAGGCCCCAGAGGUCCCCCCGGAGCUCGGGGUGACCCUGGAGACCGAGGCCAAUCAGGAGACAAGGUAA